ACUUCGGUACAUCGGUGACAGGUGGUGCAUGGUUGUCGUCAGCUCGUGUCGUGAGAUGUUGGGUUAAGUCCCGCAACGAGCCGCAACCCCUAUUGUUAGUUUGCCAUCAUUCAGUUGGGCACUCUAGCGAGACUGCCGGUAAUAAACCGGAGGAAGUGGGAUGACGUCAAAUCAUCAUGCCCCUUAUGACCUGGGCUACACACGUGCUACAAUGGUUGGUACAACGAGUUGCGAGUCGGUGACGGCGAGCUAAUCUCUUAAAGCCAAUCUCAGUUCGGAUUGUAGGCUGCAACUCGCCUACAUGAAGUCGGAAUCGCUAGUAAUCGCGGAUCAGCACGCCCGCGGUCGAAUACGUUCCCGGGCCUU
rnacentral:rRNA from 1 species